rnacentral:rRNA from 1 species
ACGCUCGACACCUACGGGAGGUAGCAGUGGGGGAUAUUGCACAAUGGGGGAAACCCUGAUGCAGCAACGCCGCGUGAAGGAAGAAGGUCUUCGGAUUGUAAACUUCUGUCCUCAGGGAAGAUAAUGACGGUACCUGAGGAGGAAGCUCCGGCUAACUACGUGCCAGCAGCCGCGGUAAUCUGAGCGGGCUGGCAAGGC